rnacentral:rRNA from 1 species
UUUAAAGCGGUACGCGAGCUGGGUUUAGAACGUCGUGAGACAGUUCGGUCCCUAUCCGCUGUGCGCGUAGGAAUAUUGAGAAGGGCUGUCCCUAGUACGAGAGGACCGGGACGGACGAACCUCUGGUUGG